rnacentral:lncRNA from 1 species
GAGAAGCACAGGGUGACGGUAGCUCCGUUAGUCCCGCCGAUCGUUCUGGCGAUAGGAAAGAGCUCAGACGUUAGGAACUAUGACCUGUCGUCGAUCAGGAUGAUUAUAUCCAGUGCUUCUCCGCUGGGGAAGAAGGUUGAGGAUGCUGUUAGAACCAAGCUUCCUAAUGCCAAACUUGGACAGGUAAAUAUACGCCGCCUUAUUUUAAUCUUUAAUUUAUUAGUAUUAAACCUAAAAUAGCUUAUAUUUAUUUUUAACCACAAAGUUUGAUUUAUUUAUAUGAUAAAAAGAAUACGGUCGUAAAUUCAGAAUUUAUUACCAUUUUAGUCCUGUAUUUCAAUAAAAAUUAAAAAUUUGAUUAUAUUUAUUUCAAUUAUAAAAUAAUAUGAAUUUUAUUAAAAUAUAACAAAAAAUUAUUUUACACACAAUUCAAAAAUUCCUAUUAUAAUUUCAACAUUUAUAUGAUUGAAUUAAUAUAUAAAUUUAUAAAAAAAAUCUAGAAAAUUUUCGAAUUAUUCAAACUAAAAACUUUAUUUUUUCAAAAAAAAGAAUGUGGAAUUCAUUGUUAUUUUAAUAUUUUUAACAACAUCAAAAAAAUACAUUUCAUUUUCUAUAUCCUUAUUGUUAUGUUCUAAGAGCUAUUAUUUUCAUUCAACCCAUUAAACACGCACCUAAAUUUCAAAUAAUGAAAUGUUUAUAGGAGUAGAAAAAUUCUUUAUAUGAGAAAUUUAGUUAAUAAUAUAUAUAUAUAUAUAUAUAUAUAUUUAUAUUUAACAAUUAUUUUUAAACUUAAUUAAUUAUUUAUAAUUUAGCGAUUGAAAUAUAUAUAUAUAAAGAAAAGAUUCGAUGGGUUUGCAUACUUGUAGGGAUAUGGAAUGACAGAGGGUGGCACACUAUCAAUGAGCCUGGCAUUUGCAAAGGAACCCUUUGAGGUAAAAUCCGGUGCGUGCGGGACCGUCGUAAGAAAUGCGGAGAUGAAAAUCGUUGACCCAGAAACCGGACUUUCCCUUCCUCCAAAUCAGGCCGGAGAGAUUUGCAUCAGAGGUGCCCAGAUCAUGAAAGGUCACUUUAAAUAAUCUCUAGUACUUGAAUAAAUUUGAUUUUGUCAAAAAUGAUGGAAAAAUUUAUAAAUUAAAAAUUAAGUAAGAAAAGAGAGGGCGGUGGAGUUUGGACAGGUUACCUUAACGACGAGGAGGCGACAAAGAGAACGGUAGACAAAGAUGGAUGGUUACACACAGGCGAUGUGGGAUACAUCGAUGAUGACGAUCAGGUUUUCAUCGUUGAUAGAUUCAAGGAAUUGAUUAAGUACAAAGGAUUCCAAGUGGC